rnacentral:rRNA from 1 species
CCUACGGGUGGCUGCAGUGGGGAAUAUUGGACAAUGGGCGAAAGCCUGAUCCAGCCAUGCCGCGUGUGUGAAGAAGGCCUUCGGGUUGUAAAGCACUUUCAGUGGGGAAGAAAGCCUUGGGGCUAAUACCCUCGAGGAAGGACAUCACCCACAGAAGAAGCACCGGCUAACUCCGUGCCAGCAGCCGCGGUAAUACGGAGGGUGCGAGCGUUAAUCGGAAUUACUGGGCGUAAAGCGCGCGUAGGCGGUCUGAUAAGCCGGUUGUGAAAGCCCCGGGCUCAACCUGGGAACGGCAUCCGGAACUGUCAGGCUAGAGUGCAGGAGAGGAAGGUAGAAUUCCCGGUGUAGCGGUGAAAUGCGUAGAGAUCGGGAGGAAUACCAGUGGCGAAGGCGGCCUUCUGGACUGACACUGACGCUGAGGUGCGAAAGCGUGGGUGGCAAACAGGAUUAGAUACCCUGGUAGUC